ACCUGAUGUCCUUCUGAAGGAAAAUUCAGGGGGUCAUGAAACCCAGGCUUAAUACCCCAGAAAACUGCCAAGUGUACGGAUCGGCUAUCAAGAGGGGGACAGGGAUUCCUGAAGAAAUUGCAAAGAAAAUACAGAGAUGUUGGGAAAAAAAAAAUCUGUCUUCUUGUAAGAUGCUGAUUUCUCCAAUAUUUCUCCAAGCUAUAUAUACAUGAAGACAGCUUUGGAAAAUUUUCACACAAACACCCCAAGAAAUCAUAAAAUGAGCGUACCUGACUUCUGCCUGUAAAAAGAUGAUGUUUAACUUUUCUAAUGAUCAGAGAAGAAAUCUACAAUAUAAAAAGUAGUUGCACAACAGAUGAAGAAGUAGGGAAGAUA